rnacentral:snoRNA from 1 species
AUCCUUUUGUAGUUCAUAGGCGUGAUGAUUGGGUUUUCACGUGCAUGAGUGAGAUGUGCCUCCCUCAAACCUUGUUACGACGUCGGCACAUUACCCAACUGAUG